AGCGCGGACAUCGGCAGAGGGAGCCCGAGGCUCUCCGUGCCCUUCGCGCCGCUCCCCAAGGAUGGAUAACACUAACAUAUAGUCAGUGGGAAAGAAAUCUCAGAAAAUAACUGUUAGUUUGUCACUGUCAUGGGAAAUGGGAAGGAAGAAAAACAGCACUUAUCAAGCAUCUUCUGUGUACAAACUGCCAUUUCAGACUCAGAGCAGUCCUUGAAGGUCAAGAACUGUGGAAUCUUUCAGAUGAUAUUCUGAUACUUCUGGACCAAGAUUGAAUUUGUUCUUCAUGAAAAAUGUCUGGGACCUUUUAUAUGGACGGGGAAUACCAACGUAGAGAUGGUCAAGAAAAUUUGCGCUCCGACCUAAACCAAGCACGUUGUAUGGUAGUUGGAGAGCUAAAUGUGCGGAUUGGCUGAGUUGGCCAGCUAGAGUUAUUCAAUUAAAAAAAAAUUAAAAACAUCUCUGGAAACAUUGCUCCCAUCAAAUAUUAAAAUGAU
rnacentral:lncRNA from 10 species